rnacentral:rRNA from 1 species
CUAUGCGCCUUGCCAGCCCGCUCAGGUGUGCCAGCCGCCGCGGUAAUACGGAGGUGCAAGCGUUAAUCGGAAUUACUGGGCGUAAAGCGCACGCAGGCGGUUUGUUAAGUCAGAUGUAAAAUCCCCGGGCUCAACCUGGGAACUGCAUCUGAUACUGGCAAGCUUGAGUCUCGUAGAGGGGGGUAGAAUUCCAGGUGUAGCGGUGAAAUGCGUAGAGAUCUGGAGGAAUACCGGUGGCGAAGGCGGCCCCCUGGACGAAGACUGACGCUCAGUGCGAAAGCGUGGGAGCAAACAGG